GGCGAAGUACAACCGGAGGAAGAACCGACAGGCCAGCCUCUCCUCUAAUCCUCCUUCGCUCUCCAUCUCGCUACUAUCUAGAUCUACUCUAGUUUAGAGAAGAGAGGAGAGCUCUCAUCUCUAAACCCUAGCUUUUGCUCUGUCUACGAAUAAUGAAUAAUGAUCAAGGGGUGCCUCCUCCAGGGGCCAGGGGGUCUGCUUAUAUAGUCCCCUCAAGUGAACCUGGGCCGUCGGAUCAAACCGACAUUGAUUGAACGGUUAUUCUUGAUCCUUUAGGUCGGUGGAGCAUAAUCCGCGAGAUUGAGCGUGAUUGGCCAUAGGAGGUGGGCGGGCGCCCAGUAGGACAGGGCGGGCGCCCUGUCUCUGGCCCCGAUUCGCCUCCGCUUCGGUCUUGUGGCUUCUGGAGUCUUCUAGAUGUAAGAUAAUUGCGCGGCACGUUAAUAUCUUUACGUAAUCCCGACGUGUGGGCCUUUCUUCCUUAUUUCCUGAUAACCCCCUGCAGAAAUAGACAAACACCAAAACUCGUGGAAUUCUGUCAGAUAAAACCCUAAGUCUAGAUGUUGAUUUCAUUUGGAUCCUUUUCUUUGUUUAUUUGAUAAUUAAAUUUGAUACUUAAGGACCGUCAACAAACUCCCCCAAGCUUACCUCUUGCUCGUCCCUGAGGAAGGAUAGACUCAGCAAUGGAUCAGAAGUUGUUGCAAUAUCUUAAAAAUUUGACGGUACACAUGCUUUUUAAAUAAGUUCUCAUCUCUGAGUUAGAGUAAACUGUCAAGACUUAAAACUUACUUACUUUACCUUUCACCAUGGGACUUGUAACUGUCACUUCUGUCUUGAGUGGUUAAAAGAUAGAAUAGUCCAGUCAAGUGCCAUGUCGCUUAUUCUUGAUCAGCUAUAGCUCUGGAGUUUUUGCAGAUUUUCAAAUAAAACUCAGAGAUUCCUUUGUAUGACUCUCUCAUAUCUCUCUUUUGUGGUAUUUCUGGAUCCUUACCAAGGCAGUGAUGGUAUAUGCCUUCUCUCAAAAUAUGUGGUAUUUGUGGUAUAAGGGAUAGUGACAUUGUCUUCUCUCUCACCCUACUCUAAUAAGGCUUUAAUAUCUGGAGCUCAUAGGUGGGAGAUAAAAUAUACAUACUUACAAGACAUUUAUUGUAUAGUCAAACCAUGGAUCCAAAGAAUCAAAUCAAUAAGCCAAAUCAAGAUGUGCAUGUGUGGUGAAUGAAUAGUGUAUGGUGAUGAUGGUGAUAACAAUGGUGAAAGUCUAAUUCUACUUUUGCUCUUUUGAGGGGAUACAUACCUUCCUUGCUUUUUGAAACUUUAUGAGGAGAAUGAGAUGCUCUUCUUUUUCUUUUCUCUCAGAUGGGUAUCCUGUACCCCUAAUUCUAUUGUCGGACACUUGUCCAUUUUUACCUCUCGUCUCACUCUUUUUCUUUUCUUUCGAGGUUCCGGGCACUUGCCCCUUUUUAUUUCCUCGUUUAUUAUUUUUUUCUUUUCUCUUUUUUUCUUCUUUUUUUUCAGAGCACUCAUCUCUUUAGAUAAUAUAGCAAGUGGUAGUAGCAAGAUAACUUGAGCAUUUAUUUCACAAGGGAAAAACACAGAUGUUUUUGGCUAUUCUCUCCCGAAUUAGGAGUAGAAUAUUUUUUAGGUGAUUCUGGAGAUGGAAAUGGAUGGAUAUAUGUGGAUGGUACUUCCGGAGUAGAAGUAGCAUAUAUAUGAGUGAACGUGCAAGUGAAUCUUGAUUUAACCACAUGACAAGCUCCUAAGGGUCUACACAGCUUGACCACACUCAAUGCUCAUAAGCAGUAAAUAAUAAAUGUGUGGCUCAAAGUCUAGCAAGCAUGUAUAUAUGGCUGUGGUAGGAAUUUAAACUUUCAUCAUACAGGAACUCAUCAUGCAAUAUUUUAAAGAUUUUUCAAAGAUAAAAUUCUCCAGAAUUCUAGCAUCUCUAGGAAUAGAUAAACAGCAGCUCAACCUUCCCAUAUCAUAUCCGUUAACAACUUAGAUUUCAGAUCAAGUUUUCAUCCCACAAGUUUAGAUCUAGAGCAAGCUUUAAAUUAUAACAGUUAUGUCUAAACUUGAGAGAGAACUUCAAAUUUGCAAAUUAGGCAGAGCAACUAUUCAUCAUAUCCAUGCUAGAGUUUUAUUAUUAAGAUUCAGAUUAGCAUAGCCACUUUAUUUAUUUAUUAAACACACUAAGCAAAAGAUAUAUAUAAGCACAAAAUCUUUAUUUGGUUUUUCAUAGUUUAUGUAUUUUAAUAUUCUAAUAUAAUAUAAGUAUAAAGAUAGGUAGAAAUACUUAGCGAGAUAAAUAGGGGUGCUCUCCCCCAAGCUGAAUUUUGACGUAAUUUCUCUUGAUGUAGCUAGCAGGUGGCAGAGAUGUAUUUGAAAGUCAGCAGCAUUCUGACAGCGAUUAGAAUGUCCUCCGUCUGCUAGUCUUCUUGAUUCUUAAAUUCUGUGGAGCUCAAAUAGACAACAAAGCUUGUGGAACUAAUUAAGUGUUAGCAUAAAUAUCUAGCCUUCAUCACGUUGAGCUUCCUCAAUAAAUAUUAUUCCCUGUUUUCAUAUUUUUAUUUUAUAAAGUAGAAAAGAAAUAUUUAUUUUAUUUUUAUGCCACCACAGUGAAGGUACUUAUGGGUUUUAUGCCACUCGUAUACUCACAUGGGGCUUAGUAUUUUUUAACAUUUUUAUUUUCUUUUCAAGAUAGCAUGAUUAACUAAUAAUCUAUUUAAGGAAAGUAAAUAAUUAAAUGGAAAAGGGAUUGCAGAAAGGAUAAAUAUGGAUAACUACCAAUCUUACCUUUCGGCGAGGGUUCAAUGUUUUAAGUCUUCUUGUCAAGACUUCUCAUCGUGUUCAUUCUUCACGUGCGUCAUUUGAUUCAGGUGCGGACCUUGACGUCUGCACCUUUUAAUACGGUGUCACCCAUGUUCUUCGUUUGCCCAGCAGUCGAAGUGCGGUGUUAGCAGUAUCUUGCUCAGUGUGUUUGUGCUCGUAGUGUAUCUGCUCAUAGAGACAAGGCAGAGAUCAAGUGCAAGGGCCCUGUUGGUGGAAAACACCAACAGAACCAAAAGUGUAUUUGUUGUUCUCUAACCUUAAGCAUAGUGAGCAAGACAAGUUGAUGGAUGAUAAGUUCAUGAGUGUAGCACUUAUAACAUUUGUCAGAUCAGAUCGCUCAACCUUAUGGAAAGAUAAUCUAUCUAUGUAUAUGUCUUUUUCUUUAUAUCUCUCAAUGAUUGAUGUGUAACAUUUUAGCUCAUAUGAUUAGGAGUGUGGGAUCAUGGAGGUAGUACUAAGAACAAGGUUUAAAGGACUAAACAUGUUGAAUCAGUUGGGUUGGUUAAUCUAGAGUUGUAAAUCAUACACGUUUGUCUCUUUUAUUUAUAUGAACACCAGAACCAAGGAGAAGCUUAUAAAAGUGAUAGUCAAGUACCUUAAGAUGUUACCUUGCUCGAAGAGUGAUGGUACAGUAUCAUCUUGUGGAAGCUUUCCUUUCUUAGCGGUUGUGCGUCGUGUUUGUGGCACCCUCCAUGGAUCAUCUCUCUAUGAUGAAUGAGCUAUGUCCUUCUUGUGCAAAUUGUUAAACUUCAUGUGUCACUCUCUUCGUCUCUGAUGUGAAUUUAUCUCAGGACUUUCCAAAUCGAUAUUGAAAGUUUUUCUGCAGGGGUUAGUCCGACAAAAUAUACCAAUAUCUACUCAAGCAGUUUUUUUAGUUCAAUAACCAAACUAGACUCCAUGUCUAAUCAGAUUAAGGAAGGCUAUUUAACCUAAGCACCAUGCUUAAUUUAAAUGCCAAUGGAAGUAUGGCGAGUACUUCCAAACCAACACUUGCUAGUAAAUAGACAAAGGUAGCAUGACAGCGUUUAUAGAGAUCUACUCAAGUGGAGAUGAAGUAGUGUGAUUAGUAUUUAACAAAUUGAGCAUGUCUCAAAGGUAGGGACAACCAGCAAAGCAAAAUGGCAAAGGAUGUUUUUAUGUAAAGUACUCCCCCAAGCUUGAAUUUUGCAAAAUUCAAGUUUGGAUGAAUUUAAUUCAAUGUUGUAUGAUGAUUGGUUGGACAUACCUUGUGCUUGUCAUUCAUCCGAUCUUCUUGCUCCAAUCCUAGAAAGGUUAGUGACAAGAAUACCCGAAGGAAUAUUAUUUUUUUUACAAUUAUCCUUAUAUGCUCAAUACACAAGGUAAUGAAUGUUGCAAAUAAUUAAAAGCUCAUGUUACGAUCUGAUCAAUGCUUAUAUUAAGACACUAAGCUUGUCCUUGGGAAACCAUCAGUUUAUGUUGGCGAAGUGGUUUCCCCUCCGACGCCAACCUAUAUCUAGAUCAACUCAACGAGAUCUGCAAUAUUUAUUAUAGACAUAUGCAUCGACAACCGCCCUUUUAAAGUUUUUAUAAAUAGAAAGGAAGAGGGGGUUGGAGAUCUCAAGUGUGGUGAUGUCGGAGAGACCAAUAGAUUGGGAAGAUGUUGCAUAUGAGCAUGGAGUAAACGAAGUGGCUAUGAAAUAAAUUCCAUGCUCAUUAAUGUUAUCUUCGUCUCUAAUCUGAAUGUUCGGAGUUUCUCCUGGAUUGGUCUCACCUAUGUCCUCUUCUGUAGUUGGAUGAAUCUCAUCUUCAAAGGGAGUCAAGAACUCACCAUUUGAAAUUGAGCUAAAGUCAAAACCCAUUAAGGCUUCUUCCUUAUCCAUCCAUUCUACACAUUAUAGCCAUUUAGAACUUGUGAUCAAAAUAGGGGAGGUGUUAGAAUUUUCUAUAUGGCAUAGCUCUCCUUCUAUGGCAUUACUUGACAUGCCAUCCUUAUGGUCUUCAUGACUCCUAUGGUUUGGUCGUCUUGGUGAAUUGCUAGGAUCAUCAUGAGACUGAAAAGAAGAGGGAUAAGAGGGAUCUCUAAGGUCAAGGAUGGAUUUAGAACUUGUGAACAUGGAAGGGGAGUAGAUAGAAUUGUCUAUGUGGCUUAGCUCUCCUUCACUUGAUAUGUCAUCCUCGACUUCUUCAUGAUAGGAACCAGGACAUUCUCUAAGAGAAACAUUAUUGCAAUGAUUUGAAUUAUCCCUGCUUGAAGGUCUCUUAUAGAACCAGAAGUCUAAACCAUCAGCAUCUAAAAGAUUUAAGGUCGGAAUUCCUUCCUCCCUUGGAGAAUUUUGGGGUAUUGAUGGUUUAGGAUCGAUAGCUAAAGUUUGGGAUUGAAGUGGUUGUGAUCUGGCUAUCGAAACUUCUUCUUCUUGUCUAGGAACUGGUUCUUUCUCUUUCUCAGGGAUAUAAAAGCUAGGAGACUUUUCGCUCAUUAAAUCAAUCAAAUUCCAAGCUUCACUAGCGGAUAGGUGGUGGAAAGAUCCUCCAGAGGCCGCAUGAAGGGUUUGCUUAUCUUCCUUGCUAAGGCCCUCAAAAAAUUGAAUUAGAAGAACUUCUUCUGGAAUAGAAAGUUUUGGGCCAGUGAGAGUAAGGUUAAUAAAGCGGUCCCAUGAUUUGCCAAGAGAUUCUUCUUCCAGUUGUCUAAAAGAAAGAAUCUCACGCUGAAGUUCCACCACUUUGGAGAUUGGAAAAUAUUUAGAAAGAAAACUACUAUAUAACUCCUUCCAAUCUCCAUGAACACUCCCUACUUUGAGUUUAUACCAAUGUCUAGCUUUUCCCGUUAAAGAGAACGGAAAGAGCUUCCAUUUAAGGGUCUCAUCGGACAUGCCUUCUAUGCGAAGGAGGUCACAGACUCGAUAAAACUCUCUUAGGUGUGUGUAUGGGUUUUCCUCACCUUCUCCUGAGAAAGGUUGUUUUUGAAUAAAUUCUAUGUAUUCGGGGUCUAUCUCAAAACUAGAUGCUAUGAUAGGCUUUGAAGAUUUUGGUGGUUCGAAAUGUGUGCCCAUAGGUCUAUGAAAUUCAUAGAUAGACAUGUUUGAAUUCAUAAUAGACCAGAGAUCAAGGAUUAGAUAAGAAGAAAGAAUAGCAGAGAUGAGGCAAAGGAUAAAAGGAAAAUAUUUUUAUUUAUUUAUUUAUUUUUUAUAAAAUGAUUAAACUAGUUCAUAGUCAACUCAGCAACCGUUUCCCCGGCAACGGCGCCAAAAAUGCUUGUUGACACUUGCUAACACCACUUGAAUACUAGGUUGUCAUCCCCAGCAUGGCACUAGAGUGUACUAUGGUAUUUAUACGCACACAGAUAAUCCGCAAGCGCACGGAUACCGUUGAAGCUUUUACCCGGUUAAAGGUUUUAUCGUAUCCACAGGGAAACGGGAGAACCAACUACGCUCUAACUUAACCAAGAUAAGUAAAUAGGUGUGAAUAGGAAAGAUGGUAGAAUCGAAUAAGAACAAAAUUAAAGGUAAGAUAACAGUGAGUGAUAAUAUGGGAAUAGAGAGUAGAGCAAUUCUAGUAUAUGGGCGAUGGUAGCAGAAUAGAGAGGAUAACUAUGGUUUCUCUACUUCAAAGGGGUAUGUCUAUGUCUGGGACGAACCACGUGAUAAGAGUACACCACAAAGGAUGCUUAUCCAUAGGCCGAUAAACCCUACCCAUCCUGCUAACGAGAGGUGGACUACAGGGGACCAACGUAACUGUCACCUACGCGGCCUACCACACGAUCCAGCUAGUCAGGGGAUAUCCACAAGUAAUCUAGGUCUAAGCACCACGCUUACACCUAUACUACAACUCUAACCUAUAGGGUCCUAUAGAUUCGAAGUACUCAAAAGAGUUGUGAACCAGAACAUACAUGAUUAGUAAUUGCAUAAUGAAUUAGAAGUAGAUUACCAGAGUCAUCCCAUGAGCAAGCUUGAUUAGAGCUUGAUCAUGGCGAAGUACAACCGGAGGAAGAACCGACAGGCCGGCCUCUCCUCUAAUCCUCCUUCGCUCUCCAUCUCGCUACUAUCUAGAUCUACUCUAGUUUAGAGAAGAGAGGAGAGCUCUCAUCUCUAAACCCUAGCUUUUGCUCUGUCUUUGAAUAAUGAAUAAUGAUCAAGGGGUGCCUCCUCCAGGGGCCAGGGGGUCUAGUUUUAUAGUCCCCUCAAGUGAACCUGGGCCGUCGGAUCAAACCGACAUUGAUUGAACGGUUAUUCUUGAUCCUUUAGGUCGGUGGAGCAUAAUCCGCGAGAUUGAGCGUGAUUGGCCACAGGAGGUGGGCGGGCGCCCAGUAGGACAGGGCGGGCGCCCUGUCUCUGGCCCCGAUUCGCCUCCGCUUCGGUCUUGUGGCUUCUGGAGUCUUCUAGAUGUAAGAUAAUUGCGCGGCACGUUAAUAUCUUUACGUAAUCCCGACGUGUGGGCCUUUCUUCCUUAUUUCCUGAUAACCCCCUGCAGAAAUAGACAAACACCAAAACUCGUGGAAUUCUGUCAGAUAAAACCCUAAGUCUCGAUGUUGAUUUCAUUU
rnacentral:lncRNA from 1 species